rnacentral:rRNA from 1 species
CGAAGGGUGCAAGCGUUACUCGGAAUUACUGGGCGUAAAGCGUGCGUAGGUGGUUUGUUAAGUCUGCUGUGAAAGUCCCGGGCUCAACCUGGGAAUGGCAGUGGAUACUGGCAAGCUAGAGUGCGGUAGAGGGUAGUGGAAUUCCCGGUGUAGCGGUGAAAUGCGUAGAGAUCGGGAGGAACACCAGUGGCGAAGGCGGCUACCUGGACCAGCACUGACACUGAGGCACGAAAGCGUGGGGAGCAAACAGGAUUAGAUACCCUGGUAGUCCAGCCCUAAACGAUGCGAACUGGACGUUGGGAGCGAACUUGGCUCUCAGUGUCGAAGCUAACGCGUUAAGUUCGCCGCCUGGGGAUACGGUCGCAAGACUG